GGAUCAAUGAUGAUUCCCAAUAAAACAUUCCUUGGAAAACUGAACAAAAUGAGUGAAUAACCAAUACUGCAACUCUCAUCGAAUCUGAGCUCC